rnacentral:rRNA from 2 species
UAUCAUGCAAGUCGUACGCACUGGCCCAACUGAUUGAUGGUGCUUGCACCUGAUUGACGAUGGAUCACCAGUGAGUGGCGGACGGGUGAGUAACACGUAGGUAACCUGCCCCGGAGCGGGGGAUAACAUUUGGAAACAGAUGCUAAUACCGCAUAACAACAAAAGCCACAUGGCUUUUGUUUGAAAGAUGGCUUUGGCUAUCACUCCGGGAUGGACCUGCGGUGCAUUAGCUAGUUGGUAAGGUAACGGCUUACCAAGGCGAUGAUGCAUAGCCGAGUUGAGAGACUGAUCGGCCACAAUGGAACUGAGACACGGUCCAUACUCCUACGGGAGGCAGCAGUAGGGAAUCUUCCACAAUGGGCGCAAGCCUGAUGGAGCAACACCGCGUGAGUGAAGAAGGGUUUCGGCUCGUAAAGCUCUGUUGUUGGAGAAGAACGUGCGUGAGAGUAACUGUUCACGCAGUGACGGUAUCCAACCAGAAAGUCACGGCUAACUACGUGCCAGCAGCCGCGGUAAUACGUAGGUGGCAAGCGUUAUCCGGAUUUAUUGGGCGUAAAGCGAGCGCAGGCGGUUGCUUAGGUCUGAUGUGAAAGCCUUCGGCUUAACCGAAGAAGUGCAUCGGAAACCGGGCGACUUGAGUGCAGAAGAGGACAGUGGAACUCCAUGUGUAGCGGUGGAAUGCGUAGAUAUAUGGAAGAACACCAGUGGCGAAGGCGGCUGUCUGGUCUGCAACUGACGCUGAGGCUCGAAAGCAUGGGUAGCGAACAGGAUUAGAUACCCUGGUAGUCCAUGCCGUAAACGAUGAGUGCUAGGUGUUGGAGGGUUUCCGCCCUUCAGUGCCGGAGCUAACGCAUUAAGCACUCCGCCUGGGGAGUACGACCGCAAGGUUGAAACUCAAAGGAAUUGACGGGGGCCCGCACAAGCGGUGGAGCAUGUGGUUUAAUUCGAAGCUACGCGAAGAACCUUACCAGGUCUUGACAUCUUGCGCUAACCUUAGAGAUAAGGCGUUCCCUUCGGGGACGCAAUGACAGGUGGUGCAUGGUCGUCGUCAGCUCGUGUCGUGAGAUGUUGGGUUAAGUCCCGCAACGAGCGCAACCCUUGUUACUAGUUGCCAGCAUUAAGUUGGGCACUCUAGUGAGACUGCCGGUGACAAACCGGAGGAAGGUGGGGACGACGUCAGAUCAUCAUGCCCCUUAUGACCUGGGCUACACACGUGCUACAAUGGACGGUACAACGAGUCGCAAGCUCGCGAGAGUAAGCUAAUCUCUUAAAGCCGUUCUCAGUUCGGACUGUAGGCUGCAACUCGCCUACACGAAGUCGGAAUCGCUAGUAAUCGCGGAUCAGCAUGCCGCGGUGAAUACGUUCCCGGGCCUUGUACACACCGCCCGUCACACCAUGGGAGUUUGUAACGCCCAAAGUCGGUGGCCUAACCUUUAUGGAGGGAGCCGCCUAAGGCGGGACAGAUGACUGGGGUGAAGUC